GCCUUCGUGGUGUAGUGGUCAGCACUCUCGGCGCAAAUGCGAGAGGUGCGUGGUUCGAGUCCCGGCGAGGGCA
rnacentral:tRNA from 1 species